UAUAAGAUAGUGUAUAGCGCACCCGGGCCUUUGAAUCCCGAAGAUUAGAUUCAUUCCUAUUCUUAUAA
rnacentral:tRNA from 1 species